AGUGAACGCUGGCGGCAUGCUUUACACAUGCAAGUCGAACGGCAGCGCGGGCUUCGGCCUGGCUGCCAGUGGCGAACGGGUGAGUAAUACAGCGGAACGUGCCCAUUUGUUGGGGAUAGCUCGGCAAAGGCCGGAUUAAUACCGCAUUCGACCUUAGGGUGAAAGCGGGGGAUCAUCGGACCUCGCGAUCUUGCACCGGCCGAUGGCGGAUUAGCUAGUUGGUGGGGUAAAGGCCUACCAAGGCGACGAUCCGUAGCUGGUCUGAGAGGACGACCAGCCACACUGGGACUGAGACACGGCCCAGACUCCUACGGGAGGCAGCAGUGGGGAAUUUUGGACAAUGGGCGAAAGCCUGAUCCAGCAAUGCCGCGUGUGUGAAGAAGGCCUUCGGGUUGUAAAGCACUUUUGGCGGGAAAGAAAAGGAGUGUGUUAAUACCACGGUGCGAUGACGGUACCCGAAGAAUAAGCACCGGCUAACUUCGUG
rnacentral:rRNA from 1 species